UAGGAAUAGGAGGAAGACCUCAUCCUAACAUGAGCUAAAAUUGACUGUGUCGAAAAUGGAAGGAGAACCUCAUCCUGACACAAAUGAAGAUCUAAUCGUUUAAGACCGGAUGAGAAAAAAAGCCUCCUCAGCAAUUCUUCUGCACCCCUAUAGCCCCGCUGGGAGUAGAGGAAAAAUCCUCACCCAAACGUACAGAAAAAGAGGAGAGAAAAAGGAAAAGCGAUGAGCAGCACCAG
rnacentral:lncRNA from 1 species